UAGGGAAUCUUCGGCAAUGGACGAAAGUCUGACCGAGCAACGCCGCGUGAGUGAAGAAGGUUUUCGGAUCGUAAAACUCUGUUGUUAGAGAAGAACAAGGACGUUAGUAACUGAACGUCCCCUGACGGUAUCUAACCAGAAAGCCACGGCUAACUACGUGCCAGCAGCCGCGGUAAUACGUAGGUGGCAAGCGUUGUCCGGAUUUAUUGGGCGUAAAGCGAGCGCAGGCGGUUUCUUAAGUCUGAUGUGAAAGCCCCCGGCUCAACCGGGGAAGGUCAUUGGAAACUGGGAGACUUGAGUGCAGAAGAGGAGAGUUGAAUUCCAUGUGUAUCGGUGGAUUGCGUAGAUAUAUGGAGGAACACCAGUGGCGAAGGCGGCUGUCUGGUCUGUAACUGACGCUGAGGCUCGAAAGCGUGGGGAGCAAACAGG
rnacentral:rRNA from 1 species